AGUUCGGUCCCUCGUCUAGGCAUAGUAUAAUUGGUUGGUUAUUUCUAAUUUUUCUUUUACUUACUGAAUUUUAUUGACUUUCAUUGUAAUUGCAGCAAUGCAGCAGAGGAUGUAAGUGUCGAACGCCGAUAUUCGUCAGUAUGUUAUCAAGAAGAGAGCAGCGUCUGAGGUCGGACCUUCGCGGCCGUCGAAGAAACGUCAAACACCAGCUCUAGUCGGC
rnacentral:lncRNA from 1 species